AGCUCAGUCGGUUAGAGCACUUGACUGUUAAUCAAGGGGUCCUAGGUUCAAGUCCCAGUUG
rnacentral:tRNA from 1 species